rnacentral:rRNA from 1 species
UACGUAGGGUGCAAGCGUUAAUCGGAAUUACUGGGCGUAAAGCGUGCGCAGGCGGUUAUGCAAGACAGAGGUGAAAUCCCCGGGCUCAACCUGGGAACUGCCUUUGUGACUGCAUAGCUAGAGUACGGUAGAGGGGGAUGGAAUUCCGCGUGUAGCAGUGAAAUGCGUAGAUAUGCGGAGGAACACCGAUGGCGAAGGCAAUCCCCUGGACCUGUACUGACG